AGCCUUUGGUGGAGCGGCGUACAGCUCAGUAAUACAGUUUUAAUUUAAUCGUAGUGCUAUAUGGAUAACCAUGGUAAGCUAUGGCUAAUACAAGCAAAGGCUAUCAGUGUGGCGAGGCAUUGGUAGUUGACAGUCUUUGACGACUACGACUAAGAAUCUGGCCUAUUAGCAAAGAUGGUAGGGUAACGGCCUACCAUGGCUAUGAUGGGUAACGGAGAAUCAGUGUUCGAUUCCGGAGAGGGAGCUUUAGAAACAGCUCCCACGCCUAAGGGUGGCAGCAGGCGCGAAACUACCCAAUUCCGAAUAGGAGAGGUAGUGAAGAGACAUGAGGCUCGGCCUAGAGAUUGCACAAUAAAUUAGUGUAAGAUCGACUGGAGGGCAAGCCUGGUGCCAGCAUCCGCGGUAA
rnacentral:rRNA from 1 species